rnacentral:lncRNA from 1 species
AUCCUUUUAUAGACAGCACAAAGACUUGUCCAAGGUCAUCAUUCAUUUCCUCAAGGUGACCUGAUUCACAGCCAGAUGCUCAUCGUGCUCCAGCAGCUGUGGUGAGCUCCCUCUCCUCUUCUGCGGGGGAAAGGAGGUACCCAAGGCCCUGUGGUGCUCCCAAACAAAGCCAGGUCUCUGAGACCUCAGGGAGGUACCUUCGUGACCCAUUAUUGGCCACUGCAAGUCUUGAAGACGGACAUACCCUUACAAAAGGCAUAAGGAUAUUGCAUGGAUCUUCCUACUGGGCUGUAGGCUGUGCUCCAAUUUACUAGUAAAUGGAACUCUGGGUAGUAGGGUCCUCUUCUCUUUGCACCAUCCUGAGUCCAUGGGCUUGACCUCUACCCCUCCAUCUCCUGCCUGUGUAAGAUCCAAAAGUCCAGCCUAAUUCUCCUUUCCUACAUCCACAGCAAAUUCUCCUGCCUUGGAUUAUUUUAGAACUGUGAUUCCUCUCCUGGAGCAUGAUGCCAAUCAGCCUUGGGUAAUUAUUUAGUAUAUGAUUUGCUCUUUUAUUGGAUUAGAGGCUUCUUUAGGACAGGGAUUAUAUUGGACUAAUUUCUCUUUCAUGUGAAGAACCAAGCAUAGGACCUAGCUCAUGCUUAGUACUCAGUGGCUAGGUACUAAAUGGUUAUAACUAUUAAAGAGAUGUGUGGGUGGCCAUGUGAAACACAUACGGAGCAUCACUGCAUUUGCACAAUUUCCACCUCAAGUCUGAACCCGGUCAUGCAAGCCUGAAGACAGCUGGCUUCCCCCAGACAGCCUAGCCCAGCAUCAUAAUGUGGGCUGCCGUCAGUUAGACCCAGUCUGGGGCUGCCAAAUUAAUGAGCCCCUAGACUAUCCAAGAUGAUCUGCACAGUGGCUUCUGUUCUUUCCCUGGCUUCAUCUUUAUAGCUGUCCUCAGUGAAAUGAGCACUGAAGAAGAAUUAAAUAAGGCCAUGAGCACAUCAACAAUGAGAAUGGUCAAUAUCACCUAUGCUGAGGCUUUGCCUGGGGCCAGAGGCCAGGCUUUGUCAAGAAAAUUUGUACCUUUAGGGUGCCAGCAGGGUGGAGAACUUGUCCUUGUCUGCACCCUAUUUCAUCUGACUUGCUCUAAACCCUUCAUCAGAACCUGAACCAGAGCUGAGGUUCACAUGGAUAAUCUCUCCCUUGAGGCAGGGUUAACCCUCUUCGGCCUACAGACAGCUAAGGAGAAUGACAUUCAAUGGAAAAAUUCAAUGUUCUCAGGCUACUCAAAACUUCCUGU